rnacentral:lncRNA from 1 species
CCUAUAUCUAUUAUCCACCCAAACUCACCAUAAUCUACUGUGAAAGAACUGGAGAAUGAAGAAGAGCGUUGCGAGCCAUCGUUCUCACUUUUCAAUUUUCUCUUCUCUAUUACAUCGUCGUUGACUCUUGACUGUUUGUCUGCUUCACGGCUCCGCCUCAAAAUCUGGUAAGCUUCUUUUUUUUUGCUUUUUCGUAUGGGUAAUGGAAGAAUCAGAAAUCAGAAGGUUUGCUUGAGAGGCAAAAAUUACUUACUUGUUUGUGUGGCAAUGAAAGAAUCGGAAUUUGCUAUUUCGUAUGAAUACACACAUUUUUAAAAUUUUUUUUUUGCUUUUUCACAAAUGACAGAAAUUGAAAGUAGGAUGAGUGAAGGUGGGGCUUCAAAUGAAAGAAUACUUAGGACCCAUUUAUCUCCAAGAAUACUUAGAAAAAAUUUGGGAAGUGGUGUUUGGUCUUGGCAAAUAUAUAUUUGCCAAGUAUUCAAGUUCUCAAAUACUAGAAAAAACUAGUAUUUGGGUCAAAUUCUAAUAUUUGGAAAUUUUUAAAAAUAUAAAAAUUACCACAAACUUUUAUAUUUUAUAAAAAAUACUCAUUAUUUAUUAAUUUCAACUAAUAUUUGUUGUUACUUCCUCCGAAAAAGCUUGAGUUCUAAUUCCAGUGACAAAAUUGAGAAAAAGGAAUAAUUUGUGUUUAAUGAGUUAUAAUUAUAACUGAAUCAGUGACAAGUUUAAGUAUGCGAUUAAUGUAUUAUUUUUCCUAUAUUGUUAUUUUGUUAUUGUUGAUUGUUAUCAAUUAUAUUAUAAAUUUUAACGAAGCAUAUUCAUUAUAAAAUGGUAAUAUAAAUUUAUGGGUAUUUUUAAUAAUUUUUAGAACUUAAGGAUAUAAAUCAUAAUUUUUGAAAUAAUCAAAUAUUUUUAGGGAAAAUUGGGGCCAAAUUCAUGGUGAAAUUUCAUCCAAACAUGAUUUGCCAAUAAUAUUUGAGAACUUGAGGUCAAAUGCUAGUUUAAUACUUCAUCUCCAAAUGAAGUUAAAGAUAACAGUGAAGCUUCAAACAAAAGAAAAGUCAUAGAAACUACGAUUGCUUGUUGUAAGCAUUUUGAGAAAUUAAUUGAUGAAGAUGGAGCUACUAAAACAAAAUGUAAUUAUUGUGGAAAAACUUAUGCGACUACUAAUAAAGGUAAUGGUACUUUGGUUAUGAAUAAUCAUUUGACUAUCAAAAAGUGUCCUAAAUUUUCCCAUACCGUAGAUGAUGGUCAAACACUAAUAGAUUUUGUACCAUCUUCAAUGGGAG